CCAGUUUUAAUAUACGGUGUUUGCAUCGGUUUACUGGCUAUUGAUUCGUUGUUUCGAUACGAGGCAGAAAUACAUGUAUGUAGAUAGACGUACUUUCAUACUCGUAUCACUUUGACAAAAACUGUUUAAUAAAAUUAUUCGCGCACGGUUAUCCAGGAACGGCUUCGCCGAUUUCGUACACAAAGGGUGGCCUUUUUUAUUUCACCAAGAAUAUUCCAAAUUUAAAAAGUUUUUUAAAAAGAAAUAAAUGUUUUUAUAGGUCUUUCAAAUUUUCGUAAUAUGAGGUUGGCAGAAUAUGAUCGAACGCAUGAUUCUCGUAAGUUUUUCCCCCUUAUAAUCGAAAUCACGAAAUAGCGCAAGCUCCUAUCGUAAAAUCGCACACCGAACAUAUUUUUCAUAAAGCUUUCAGAGGCGCGGUCCGAUUCGCAGCAUUAACGCCGCCUCCGUUAAUCCAUGGAAUUGUGGUGGAGAAUACGACUCAAUAUUUGCUUGGCUGUAGACCGGCUUAUCUGUUGUACGUCAUUCAUCGUGAUUGAAAAAGAAAUCAGCCGUUCGCUGACUAAAUUUACUUGCUUAACAUUUUAAAUCCCGUUUAAUCAAGUCUUGUAUCUUUUGUUUCCACAUAAUAACAGACUGCAUUAUCUUUUCGUAAAGCCGACGGAUGUGAUUCACUCGAGAAUUUUGAUAUCGCAGCUAAUUAACAUCGAUUUAUACAUACGUAUAUCCGUUACGGAGCUGUCGUUCCGCCUGGGUUCAGGUGGUACCAAAGAUAUUGCCGGAGCAUAAUACGAUACAUCGCGGUGGAAUAUCGGCACGCUUGAAUUUGCCAACAUAGUGAAACGUAUCGUUGCGAGGUAGAAACUAUUGACGAGCGCUCGUCAUUGAAACGAUCUCGUGCAGAGUGAAAAUGGGAAAUAAUCAAUUAGGCAAUUUAAAUGACGCGAGUACGGAAUUGAAAAGAGCACCGUGAAACAAAACGCCGAGCACCCAACUGUCAGCACUGCAAAUUGCCCCUGAAGUAAUAAACAUAUUUGUCUCAGAAAUUGCGUACCAAAGGCAUUGAAGAGACACGGUCGAUGCCACCAACGUCUGUGCCAUGCGCAAGGAAUCCAACUGUACAUCGGAAGCAUUGAGAUGACAAUAAUAUGUUCUGAUCCGGUCGCAGCUGUUCUCCGAGACGUAAUUAGAACGUUAAAUUAAUGAAAUUUCAUUAUCGAGAAAGCAGUGCAAUGGAGGAAAGGAGAAACAGUCGGAUGCAUAAAGGAUACCGACUAUAUCCAGUGCGAACUCUUUUCGAGCGCUGUACGAUUUGGUUAGAAUUUUUCAUUCACUCCAUCGCACAAGGCCCUGUUAUAGAAAUACCGUCCCAGGUUACCAUGGAUAAUCUCUACUGCUGGCUCUACGGAAUGGGUGUGCAAAAUUUAAACUCAACGGACUGCAACCGGACUUGCAAGGCAAACGGGACCAGCAGAGUCUGCGUUUACACAUUCGUCCUCGAGCACUAUCACGCCAUGGGUUCUGCUUGUGGAAACUGCUCUCGUGGCGUCCUGGAGGACUGCAUGCACCCGCAGUGCAUCACUGGAGACGGUACAGAGCGCGGUCUGAUGUCUAUCAACAGGAUGGGAAUCGGGCCAAGCAUUCAGGUUUGCCUCGGAGACCUCGUCGCCGUCAACGUCAAGAACCAAAUGGGUGGCACGGAGUCGACCAUCCAUUGGCACGGCAUACUCCAGGAGGGAACCCAGUGGAUGGACGGAGUGCCGAAGAUCACUCAGUGCGGCAUACCGGAGAGCAGCAGCUUUCGAUACGUUUUUUUUGUCAACGAGUCCGGGACCUACUUCUAUCACAGUCACACAGGUUUCCAGAAAACCAACGGACACAACGGAGCGCUGAUAGUGAGGCGGCCGAUCAGUGACGAACCGGCAAGGAAAUUGUACUCCGAGGAUAAAUCCGGUCACGUGAUGGUUUUGACGGACUACAUGCACGAGUAUGCCGAAUUGUUCUUCCCCGGGCUUUUAACCAGAAAUCCGGGAAUAGCACCGGCCACCUUUUUGAUCAACGGUCUCGGCCGAUGGCGUGACCCGGCAACGAAUCGGACGACCCAGACACCCUUGGCUACUUUUCACGUCCAGGCCGGAAUCUCUUACCGUAUGAGGAUCAUCAACGCCGCCAGUAUGAUUUGCCCGAUGCAAUUGCAGAUCGAAAAUCACACCAUGACCGUCAUCGCUACCGACGGAAGUGACGUUCAACCUAAGACCGUCGACGCGUUGGUUUCCCAAUCGGGUGAACGUUUCGACAUCGUUCUCAACGCUAGUCAAACGUCCGGUGCUUACUGGAUCUAUGUCAGGGGACUGUUCGUCUGCAACGAGGUCGAUCGCGUCGACCAGGUUGGGGUUUUGUCCUAUGGUACCGCAGAUAACGCGACGGGGAUUUAUCCUGAAACACCGGAGCCCACGCAGGAUAAUCCUCUUCCAUUCGAAAUUCGUCUUAAUUACCCGAACGCGUCGUGCGAGGCGUCAACGACUGAAAUUUGCGUGAGCGAGCUGGAGGGAUACGAAGACUCGUCGCCGUCGGACAUCCUCGGCGAAACGAACAUCACACGGAUGAACGUUACCUUUGGGUACUGGGAAUGGACAGUGGAAACGCUGCACGGAACAAUCAAUCACCCAACAACGGAGUUCAACCCAUUCCAACUGAGGCCUCCGGUGAUAUUGGAAACCGGAAUAAUGAACGGCAUCUCGAACGAAUUCCCCGACACUGUAAUGAUGCUGAACAGAAGCUCAAACGCGAGCUUUUGCAACGAGCAAAACAAACCCUCCAAGUGUGCAAAUGGCAGUUUUUGCAUCUGCACCCACGUCAUAGAAUUACCGUACAAGGCUAACGUGGAAUUGGUCUUGUCGGAUAUCAAUGCUCUUUCUUUUCCACCGCUGUCCCACCCUUUCCAUUUACACGGCUACAAAUUCUACGUUAUGGAAAUAGCGCGCAGCAACGAAUCGCUGACGAUGACGGGGUCGCAGAGUCCAAAUAAAAUUCCCCCGCUCAAGGACACGGUUCUUAUACCCCAAAACGGUUCGACGAGGAUUAGAUUUUACACUGGAAAUCCAGGCGACUGGCUUUUCCACUGUCACUUCGAGUGGCACAUGUCAAUUGGAAUGUCGGUUGUCUUCAGAGUCCAUGGUUCCGUUCCCCCACCACCUGAAAACUUCCCGAGAUGCGAGAGCUUCGAUCCAAUUGCUCCAUGUAAUCGGAACUGCUCCUCCAACUAGGCAAGGUCUCCAACUUACCACCGCCUGGUUUAUUACCUCUUGCACCUGAAACCUGCGAGGUUCUUGACGCCGGACCAAUUUGUGAUUGAAAUACUCAAGAUGUGAGAGAGACGCACAGAGGAAAGGGAAAGCGAAUAUUGAAAAAAUGAAGGAACCAUCUGUAGAAUGAGGCAACAACUUUCAAGCCGUGUUGUUAUCCGGAGAUGGUUCGAUGUAUUUUUGACGAUACUUUCCGUCCGGAUCAUACUUUCCACAAAGCUGAUCCCACUCGUCCUGCCGGUUUUCUCUGAAAUUCAAAUAAACAGCAUUAAUCGAGAAUUUUCUCCCUCCUCCCUCCCUCACACACACAUACAAAUGCUGUUUUCUUCACGCACAUCUUGACAUCCACCUCUGACUUGUAAAUCUGUCAUUAAUUUCUGCAGUUCAUGUAUUAGUUGGUAAAACUUGUUAUUGCAUUAAAAAUCAAGCUACUGGAGUGGAAAGAUUGUUGCUCGAUUGUCGUGACAUGGCUUCAAGGUGAACCCACUGAACUCUGAACGCAUUCUCGACUUUUCGGUUUUGCGUAGCACUACCUAACUGAUUAUUCCUGAGACCGGCGCUGGAGCGAUGACACGUUAAUCGGCACGAUUCAAAAAAUAAAACAAAUGAAGAUAAAGUGGUUUACGCGUUUCAAGUUUUUCAAAAUAAUCCGACCUAAAAUGAAAAGCCUCGAAGCCUCAUAUAAAUCGUUUUAUGAUGCAAAUGUACGAAUUUGGAUCCGGAAAA
rnacentral:misc_RNA from 1 species